ACCUCGGAUCAGGUAGGAAUACCCGCUGAACUUAAGCAUAUCAAUAAGCGGAGGAAAAGAAACCAACAGGGAUUGCCCUAGUAACGGCGAGUGAAGCGGCAACAGCUCAAAUUUGAAAUCUGGCCCUCGGGUCCGAAUUGUAAUUUGUAGAGGAUGCUUUUGGUGAGGUACCUUCCGAGUUCCCUGGAACGGGACGCCAUAGAGGGUGAGAGCCCCGUCUGGUCGGAUACCGAUCCUCUGUAAAGCUCCUUCGACGAGUCGAGUAGUUUGGGAAUGCUGCUCUAAAUGGGAGGUAUAUGUCUUCUAAAGCUAAAUAUUGGCCAGAGACCGAUAGCGCACAAGUAGAGUGAUCGAAAGAUGAAAAGCACUUUGAAAAGAGAGUUAAAAAGUACGUGAAAUUGUUGAAAGGGAAGCGCUCAUGACCAGACUUGGGCUUGGUUGAUCAUCCAGGGUUCUCCCUGGUGCACUCUUCCAGCCCAGGCCAGCAUCAGUUCGCUGUGGGGGAUAAAGGCUUUGGGAAUGUGGCUCCUCCGGGAGUGUUAUAGCCCAUUGUGUAAUACCCUGUGGU
rnacentral:rRNA from 1 species